CCCUGGCUCAGGACGAACGCUGGCGGCGUGCCUAAUACAUGCAAGUCGAGCGGAGUUAUGAAGGAGCUUGCUCUGGAAUAACUUAGCGGCGGACGGGUGAGUAACACGUAGGCAACCUACCUCUUUGACUGGGAUAACUACCGGAAACGGUAGCUAAUACCGGAUAAUUCCUUUGUUCACAUGGACGAAGGAUGAAAGGCGGAGCAAUCUGCUACAAGGAGAUGGGCCUGCGGCGCAUUAGCUAGUUGGUGGGGUAACGGCUCACCAAGGCGACGAUGCGUAGCCGACCUGAGAGGGUGAACGGCCACACUGGGACUGAGACACGGCCCAGACUCCUACGGGAGGCAGCAGUAGGGAAUCUUCCGCAAUGGGCGAAAGCCUGACGGAGCAACGCCGCGUGAGUGAUGAAGGUUUUCGGAUCGUAAAGCUCUGUUGCCAGGGAAGAACGUCCGGUAGAGUAACUGCUACCGGAGUGACGGUACCUGAGAAGAAAGCCCCGGCUAACUA
rnacentral:rRNA from 1 species